AUGCCACCCACCAAACAACAGGAGCCAGUUGGAGAAAUGGACAGAAUCAAUAAGGAGAACGGGGAACUUAGUGUGUCAGGGGAGAGUUCUGAGAGCAUAGAAGUUAAAACUACACAAAUCCAAAGUGAGACAAAUGGGGACCUGAAAGCACAUGAGGAUCCAGUGGUGCUUCUGAAAGAUCAGCUAACUCAGCUGAGUACUAUAAGCCAACGGACACCAGAACAAAGAGACCAAGAGCUCAACAGACUUCUGCUUCUGUUCAUCCAGGUCUCAGAGAGCAGCAGUGUCCUUGAUGAUCUGGACCUCCAGGGCUUGGCGCUGAAGGUUGGAGAAGCUCUUGUCUGUCACAUACAGCAGAGAGUUGCAGAAAAGCCUGCAGGUACCCAAAAAUAACAUUUGCAAAGGUGCAGUUGGCAGUGGCACUGGUGAGGUCACUAAAGGCCAAACAAAAAUCAAACUGAGAGCUUCAGUUGGUGUUUGAAGGGAAGUUGCUCACUUCUUUAUUUCACAAACAUGCGGCAAAAUAAGUUGCAUGAUAAUGUUGAUCAUCCUUGCUGUUACCUGUGUGAUGCAUCUGUGUUCAUUUCUUAUUAUGGUGUUUAGUUGAUUAAAUGAUUAAAUGAUUAUUCAAAAUGGAUGUUGGUGUUGAAGGAACCGAAAACCUUACUUAUCUGUUGUGUGCUGAUCUAAGAUCAAAUGGGUUUAAUCGUGCUGUCUGUUGUUUUUAUGGCUUUGUUUAAAAUAGAAGAAGCCAGGUAUGAAUUGGAGCAGUUGUUUCAGAGGUCAGAGGUCAGAAGCAACCAAGGAUGGCUUCUGCUCAAAUCGAUAUCUCUUUUGUCUAACAGAGACUCUGUAAGUUUUACUAUUAAACCUAUAUUAUAUUUAUGCAGUCAGCUCCAUAAUUACAUUGCUAUUGUUUUAGUAAUAACUACACAUUUUAAAAAUGAAGUUAAAGAGCAGUUUUGUUGCUUAUGAUUAUUUACUCAUGAUUGCUGAGUAAAAAAUAUUCCAUUCAGUAUAAAAGGUAACAAGUCAUAAUUAUUUUCUCCUAGAAAAUUCCUUUUUCUUGCUAUGGUUUUGUUACAAAAUUCAGUGUUCUAGAUGUCCUACAGUAGAUCUGUCAUUGAAAGCAUUCCUCUGUUUGACAGAUAAAAAUCUCAUCUAGUCAUGUUUUGACAGGAAGUUUUUGUGUUCUUUAACAGGAAGUUGGCGUUAUGAUCAAGACAGGUCUUCCGGUGUCAUUAGUCAAGUGUCUGUACCUGUUUGUAGCUUUGCCUCCCCGAAAAGAGAGCUUUGUCUUUCGCAAUGAUGUUGAAGAGGAAGUCAAAUGCUCUUUUCAGGACACUCUUACUCAGGUUUUUACAAUUUUGACAUGUUUUGUUUUAUAUUAUGAAUCAGUUACACCACAAAUGCUCAACUUGUGUAUCAAAAUGGGAUAAUUUUUCCCCAUUAGCACUUCCAGUUUCAGAAGCAAACUUGCAAAAAAUGAUUUAGUUCUUAAAGUGUAUGACCAUUUACACAAAGUUUGCAUGCAUAUCUAAAAUAUUUAAUGCAUUGGCGUCAAACUAAUAGAAAUAUGUCUCUUUAAACCUUCACCUCUGCUCAGGUGAUCUUGCAGCUGUGCAGGCAUGUGCGUUUCGUGGAGGUUCUGCUGGAGACCCAGGAGCUUUCAAGCGUGAUCAUCUCUCUCACCUUACUGUGGGAUCAGUGCAGCCCCUCAUGGAGACAGCAGGCGUCUCGUGUGCUCAGAGCAGUGUCUGCUGCACAAGCUCACAACACUGUACCUGCACUGCAAGGUCAACAACUACACAGACACGCUCCAGCCCAUUCUUUGUCCAAAUAAAUGUAUCUUAUGAGAGCA
ensembl:lncRNA